rnacentral:rRNA from 1 species
CUCAGAUUGAACGCUGGCGGCAGGCCUAACACAUGCAAGUCGAACGGUAGCACAGAGAGCUUGCUCUCGGGUGACGAGUGGCGGACGGGUGAGUAAUGUCUGGGAAACUGCCUGAUGGAGGGGGAUAACUACUGGAAACGGUAGCUAAUACCGCAUAACGUCGCAAGACCAAAGAGGGGGACCUUCGGGCCUCUUGCCAUCAGAUGUGCCCAGAUGGGAUUAGCUAGUAGGUGGGGUAACGGCUCACCUAGGCGACGAUCCCUAGCUGGUCUGAGAGGAUGACCAGCCACACUGGAACUGAGACACGGUCCAGACUCCUACGGGAGGCAGCAGUGGGGAAUAUUGCACAAUGGGCGCAAGCCUGAUGCAGCCAUGCCGCGUGUAUGAAGAAGGCCUUCGGGUUGUAAAGUACUUUCAGCGGGGAGGAAGGCGAUAAGGUUAAUAACCUUGUCGAUUGACGUUACCCGCAGAAGAAGCACCGGCUAACUCCGUGCCAGCAGCCGCGGUAAUACGGAGGGUGCAAGCGUUAAUCGGAAUUACUGGGCGUAAAGCGCACGCAGGCGGUCUGUCAAGUCGGAUGUGAAAUCCCCGGGCUCAACCUGGGAACUGCAUUCGAAACUGGCAGGCUGGAGUCUUGUAGAGGGGGGUAGAAUUCCAGGUGUAGCGGUGUGAAAUGCGUAGAGAUCUGGAGGAAUACCGGGUGGCGAAGGCGGCCCCCCUUGGACAAAAGACUGAACCCCUCAGUUCCAAAAAGCGUGGGGAGCAAACGGGGAUUAGAUACCCCUGGUAGUCCCACGCUGUAAACGAUGUCGACUUUGGAGGUUGUUUCCCUUGGAGGGAGUGGGCUUUCCGGGAGCUUACCCGCGUUAAGUCCGACCCGCCCUGGGGGAGUUACGGCGCCGCCAGGGGUAAAAAAUACUCAAAUGAAUUGGACGGGGGGCCCCGCGCCACAAAGCGGGUGGAAGCAUGGGGUUAAAAUUUCGGAUGCCAACCGCGAAAAACCUUUUACCCUUACUUCUUUGACUUCCCAAAAGAAACUUAGCAGAGAUGCUUUGGUGGCCUUCGGGGAACUCUGAGACAGGUGCUGCAUGGCUGUCGUCAGUCACCUCGUGUUGUGAAAUGUGGGUUAAGUCCCCGCAACGAGCGCAACCCUUAUCUUUUGUUGGCUGGCAGCGGAUUCGGUCGGGACUCAAAUGAGACUGGCC